GGGGAAUCUUCCGCAAUGGACGAAAGUCUGACGGAGCAACGCCGCGUGUACGAAGAAGGCCUUCGGGUUGUAAAGUACUGUUGUUGGGGAAGAACGGCUAGUGUGUGAAUAAUGCAUUAGAAUGACGGUACCCAACGAGGAAGCCCCGGCUAACUACGUGCCAGCAGCCGCGGUAAUACGUAGGGGGCGAGCGUUGUCCGGAAUUAUUGGGCGUAAAGGGCGCGUAGGCGGCCGUUUAAGUCUGAUGUGAAAGUGCGGUGCUUAACGCCGUAGAGCAUUGGAAACUGGACGGCUUGAGGACAGGAGAGGAAAGUGGAAUUCCUAGUGUAGCGGUGAAAUGCGUAGAUAUUAGGAGGAACACCAGUGGCGAAGGCGACUUUCUGGACUGUAACUGACGCUGAGGCGCGAAAGCGUGGGGAGCAAAC
rnacentral:rRNA from 1 species